GUAAAGUCUAUCCAUGUGGCAUC
rnacentral:siRNA from 1 species